UGUCACGCAAUGAACAGGAUUACUUGAAAGA
rnacentral:piRNA from 1 species